GGCGUGUCUUUCCCCGGAAACGGAAGUGGAAAUGUUUGAAGGGUGCAGUGCGGCGUGGCGGGAGCGGAGGAUCGUUAUUGAAUUACCGACUGAAUACUUUGAGAAAGCUGUGUGUUUUUGAAAGCAACUUUACGUGGAAUGGAACAGAUGCUGCUCAUUCAGUGGGAGUGUUUGAGGCUGUGGUAACGAUACCGAUGUCAGGACGCUCACAGCGAGGACUACACAACGACAAAAUGAGGGAGGUUCAUGUUGUUAUUGUCUUCUGGUUGUCGAGGUUACCUUGCAAUGUUUGUCAAUAACAACAUUGGAAUAUUUCAAUGCUUUGUUGCAUGUUCUCCCUUAAUACAAUAUGGUUGAAAUGAUGUGUAAAGUCAAUAACAAUGAUCCAAUGACUUGUAUUAAAGACGUUAUUUAUUUUAACACCUGA